rnacentral:rRNA from 1 species
GCGUUAAGUUGCAGGGUAUAGACCCGAAACCCGGUGAUCUAGCCAUGGGCAGGUUGAAGGUUGGGUAACACUAACUGGAGGACCGAACCGACUAAUGUUGAAAAAUUAGCGGAUGACCUGUGGCUGGGGGUGAAAGGCCAAUCAAACCGGGAGAUAGCUGGUUCUCCCCGAAAGCUAUUUAGGUAGCGCCUCGUGAAUUCAUCUCCGGGGGUAGAGCACUGUUUCGGCUAGGGGGCCAUCCCGGCUUACCAACCCGAUGCAAACUGCGAAUACCGGAGAAUGUUAUCACGGGAGACACACGGCGGGUGCUAACGUCCGUCGUGAAGAGGGAAACAACCCAGACCGCCAGCUAAGGUCCCAAAGUCAUGGUUAAGUGGGAAACGAUGUGGGAAGGCCCAGACAGCCAGGAUGUUGGCUUAGAAGCAGCCAUCAUUUAAAGAAAGCGUAAUAGCUCACUGGUCGAGUCGGCCUGCGCGGAAGAUGUAACGGGGCUAAACCAUGCACCGAAGCUGCGGCAGCGAACGUAUCACCCAAGACAACUUUACGGAGUUGACGAUUGACGGAGCGAAGCGACGUCAAAGCGUUCAUUAAAGUCGAGUUGGCUUAGGGAUACGUUCGUUGGGUAGGGGAGCGUUCUGUAAGCCUGUGAAGGUGUGUCGUGAGGCAUGCUGGAGGUAUCAGAAGUGCGAAUGCUGACAUAAGUAACGAUAAAGCGGGUGAAAAGCCCGCUCGCCGGAAGACCAAGGGUUCCUGUCCAACGUUAAUCGGGGCAGGGUGAGUCGACCCCUAAGGCGAGGCCGAAAGGCGUAGUCGAUGGGAAACGGGUUAAUAUUCCCGUACUUGGUGUUACUGCGAAGGGGGGACGGAGAAGGCUAUGUUGGCCGGGCGACGGUUGUCCCGGUUUAAGCGUGUAGGUGUGUGUUCCAGGUAAAUCCGGUUCACUUUAACACUGAGGCGUGACGACGAGGCACUACGGUGCUGAAGCAACAAAUGCCCUGCUUCCAGGAAAA